UACGUAGGGGGCAAGCGUUGUCCGGAUUUAUUGGGCGUAAAGCGCGUGUAGGCGGCUGGGUAGGUCCGCUGUGAAAACUUGAGGCUCAACCUCAAGAGGUCGGUGGAAACCAUCCAGCUAGAGUCCGGAAGAGGAGAAUGGAAUUCCUGGUGUAGCGGUGAAAUGCGCAGAUAUCAGGAAGAACACCCGUGGCGAAGGCGGUUCUCUGGGACGGUACUGACGCUGAGGAGCGAAAGCGUGGGGAGCAAACAGG
rnacentral:rRNA from 1 species